rnacentral:rRNA from 1 species
CCUACGGGAGGCAGCAGUGGGGGAUAUUGCACAAUGGGGGAAACCCUGAUGCAGCGACGCCGCGUGGGUGAAGAAGCGCCUCGGCGCGUAAAGCCCUGUCAGCAGGGAAGAAAAUGACGGUACCUGAAGAAGAAGCCCCGGCUAACUACGUGCCAGCAGCCGCGGUAAUACGUAGGGGGCAAGCGUUAACCGGAUUUACUGGGUGUAAAGGGGGCGCAGACGGCGAUGCAAGCCAGGAGUGAAAGCCCGGGGCCCAACCCCGGGACUGCUGUUGGAACUGCGUGGCUAGAGUGCAGGAGGGGCAGGCGGAAUUCCGGGUGUAGCGGUGAAAUGCGUAGAUAUCAGGAGGAACACCGGUGGCGAAGGCGGCCUGCUGGACUGCAACUGACGUUGAGGCCCGAAAGCGUGGGGAGCAAACAGGAUUAGAUACCCCUGUAGUC